rnacentral:rRNA from 1 species
CCUACGGGGGGCAGCAGUGGGGAAUUUUGCACAAUGGGGGAAACCCUGAUGCAGCGACGCCGCGUGGAGGAUGAAGGCCUUCGGGUUGUAAACUCCUUUUGUAAGGAACGAUGAUGACGGUACCUUACGAAUAAGCCACGGCUAACUCUGUGCCAGCAGCCGCGGUAAGACAGAGGUGGCGAGCGUUGUUCGGAAUCACUGGGCUUAAAGGGCGCGUAGGUGGUAGUGCAAGUCUGGGGUGGAAUCCCAGGGCUUAACCCUGGAACUGCCUUGGAAACUG